GCUGACUUCCCGGGGAAAUACUGAGGAAACACUUCCCUUAGGGUCAUAAUGGGAGAUGUGGUUCACGAGUGGGGUCAUCAUUAGAGACAUAUCACCACAGGUAUUUAUAAAUCUUUUUAAAAUUUUUCAUGGUCUUAUAAGAGCUAUAUCUUUCCUUGUGAGCCUUUUUUGGAAGUUAGGAAAUAUGAAUAAUACACAAACAAUGCUUUAUUCUUGUCUAGGGCUCAACAAUUUACCACCACCCUCACUAUGCUACCUUACCUGGCCUUCACAACACUGUGUAAACAGGUAGAUUAACUUUGUCCCAUUUUUACAGACACAGAGACUGAGGACUGAAGAUUAGUGAUCUUCCCAAGCAAGCCCAGCUAUGAUGAGGAUGAAGCAGUUAAUCCCACCACCUCUAGCUCAGGAUGAGAGAGCAACUCACACAUCCCUCUUAGAAGACCAAACUCUGGCCGGUUUUCUGCAUGCCUGGUGCUCCUUGCAGAAACAGAGCCUUCCUGCCUACCUCUGGAAUCCUGGGGCCUCAGGUGGUGCCCAGUCCACAGUAGGAACACAAUAGGAGAUGAGUGAGUAGGGGAGAAGUGAGCAGUUGGAUAUGGCAAGUUAGAAACAGUCCAGCCUCCAGUGGGGCACUCUGCUUACCUACACUUAGGUAAACCCAAAUCCUCAAAGCUCACAAGGCCUUGAAAACUCCCAAUUCCAUGAAUCCUGAUUACAAACAACCCCGAGGAACCAUUUAGCUCCCCGAAGACCAACAGAAUCUGUGUACAAUGUGGGAGGAGAGAAACUCCGGAGCGUGGCCCAGGAAGACAGGUGGCAACCCUAGAAAUGCUGCAAUGCCUGUUGAAGCCCCUUCCCCCUGAACUGGCCGACAAUUUUCCUUCCAUAUACAUUAAAAGCAUAGUCUGUAUUUUGACCUGAUGGAAAAGAUAUAGACAGGAUCUGGGACAAAGCCACCAAAUCUUUUGUUCCCUUGGACACUCGAUAGAAU
rnacentral:lncRNA from 10 species